UGGGGAAUAUUGGGCAAUGGGGGGAAACCCUGACCCAGCGACGCCGCGUGAGGGAUGAAGGUUUUCGGAUUGUAAACCUCUGUCUUCGGGGACGAAAGAAUGACGGUACCCGAGGAGGAAGCCACGGCUAACUACGUGCCAGCAGCCGCGGUAAUACGUAGGUGGCAAGCGUUGUCCGGAAUUACUGGGUGUAAAGGGAGCGUAGGCGGGAAGGCAAGUUGAAUGUUAAAUCUACCGGCUCAACCGGUAGCCGCGUUCAAAACUGUUUUUCUUGAGUGAAGUAGAGGCAGGCGGAAUUCCUAGUGUAGCGGUGAAAUGCGUAGAUAUUAGGAGGAACACCAGUGGCGAAGGCGGCCUGCUGGGCUUUUACUGACGCUGAGGCUCGAAAGCGUGGGUAGCAAACAGGAUUAGAUACCCUGGUAGU
rnacentral:rRNA from 1 species